rnacentral:rRNA from 1 species
UAGGGAAUUUUCCGCAAUGGACGCAAGUCUGACGGAGCAACGCCGCGUGAGUGAAGAAGGAUUUCGGUCCGUAAAACUCUGUUGUUAGAGAAGAACAGCGUUUAGAGUAACUGUUAUGCGUGUGACGGUAUCUAACCAGAAAGCCACGGCUAACUACGUGCCAGCAGCCGCGGUAAUACGUAGGUCCCGAGCGUUAUCCGGAAUUAUUGGGCGUAAAGCGCGCGUAGGCGGUUUUUUAAGUCUGAUGUGAAAGCCCACGGCCCAAGCGUGGAGGGUCGUUGGAAACUGUAAAACUUGAGUGGGGGGGAGGAAGGUGGAAUUCCAUGUGUAGCGGUGAAAUGCGCAAGGAUAUGGAGGAAGACCGGUGGCGAGGGCGACUUUAUGGUCUGUAACUGACGCGGAUGUGCGAGAGCGUGGGGAUCAAACAGG